rnacentral:rRNA from 1 species
CCUACGGGCGGCAGCAGUGAGGAAUAUUGGUCAAUGGACGAGAGUCUGAACCAGCCAAGUAGCGUGAAGGAUGACUGCCCUAUGGGUUGUAAACUUCUUUUAUAUGGGAAUAAAAUGUUCCACGUGUGGGAUUUUGUAUGUACCAUAUGCAUAAUGAUCGGCUAACUCCGUGCCAGCAGCCGCGGUAAUCCGGAGGAUCCGAGCGUUAUCCGGAUUUAUUGGGUUUCAAGGGUGCGUAGGUGGAUUGUUAAGUCAGUUGUGAAAGUUUGCGGCUCAACCGUAAAAUUGCAGUUGAAACUGGCAGUCUUGAGUACAGUAGAGGUGGGCGGAAUUCGUGGUGUAGCGGUGAAAUGCUUAGAUAUCACGAAGAACUCCGAUUGCGAAGGCAGCUCACUGGACUGCAACUGACACUGAGGCUCGAAAGUGUGGGUAGCAAACAGGAUUAGAUACCCUUGUAGUC